GUGGCUAAAGUGGUGUGGCGUUGUGUUGGGAUGGCUUUAGGGACGAACCUCUGUCCAAACAAUUACUGGCAAUAUUUCUCCUGGUGCCACACUUUCCUUCCCUAUGGGAAGAAAUACUAUAUUGUUGGCCUGGCGGUCAUUUGCUGGGCUAUCUAGUUGGCUAGAAAUCGAGCCACCUUUGAGAAGAAAUAGAUUAAGACACCGUUUGAGAUUGUGUUUUCUGUGUGCUCCUUUUUGCUAUAUUGGGCAGGUCUUCAGCAAGGUGAUGGAGUCAAGGAGCUGCGCAGUGGGGUGGCGAUGGUCAGGUCAAGCACUAUGAGCAUGAUGAAGAUGUGCGAGGCGGCAAGGAGACCGAUCGAGGGAGAAUGA
rnacentral:rRNA from 1 species